AAGGUCAGAAGAGGCUCCCUAAAGAUGAGAGCAAUGUAACACCAUAAAUUCCAGAGUGUUCGAGAACCCAUUGAAGCCCUGCAGGUGGGGCAACUGGCACCCCAUAUGGAUGAAACCACCUCUUGAGGAUUCAGAUCGUCGUCUCCCGGAGGAAGAUCAAGGCCUUGGUGAAAUUGUUGGAUCCCCCUGAAAUCGCCCGGUUCAGGACGGGAUCCCGGAGGAGAGCGAAGACAACGCAGGACCUGUUGUAGGCCUGCUCCUGGUCCUUGCCUUUGGGCCAUGGGCAAUUUCCUGGCUCACUCAGUUCAUCCGAAGCCAAAUAACAGACCUGCUGGCCAGGCAGAUCAAGGUUUAUGACCACUGCUUUGAUAUGCAGGACUCCAGGGUUGAAAUUUUGUCUGACGAGAGAUGCCCCACACAGACCCCUUCACUCGGGGAAGACUGCAACUGUGUGUGGGAAAAAGGCUCGCUCAAGGCAUGAUUGGAGUGCAGCUGGGACUGCACAGGCUGGGGACCAUGGUACACCAAAAUCCCAAGAGCCUGGAUUAUAUGACCUGUUGCAUAGCGGUUGUGCAGUAGCAACCUUGCGCUUACCCAUUUCUGCUCCCUCAAAAAACU